ensembl:lncRNA
UGCAAAACAAGUUGUAAACUCACUUUCACAAAACGAAUGAAGUUACGUGUUUGUUUGAAAAAGGAAAAAUGUUCCUGGCUUACCCAGCUUCCCCCAUAACUUGCAUCACAGCAGUGAUAACUUGCAAAUCAGCAGCAGUUUCACUGUUCCAAUUUAACAAAUGAAGCCUGAAUCUGACUGCUUCUUCCCAUCUCUUGUUCUAAUUUGCUGAAUAUCCCUCAUGGACAGAGGGUGGAAUUUCAGCUGAAAACAAGGGAAGGAGAGAUCUUCUUUGAAUCAGGAGCUCAGAUGUAGGUUUACUAGUUUUUCAGGUCAUGUACCUUGGGGCCUUUGUCAUCUUGGUCGUCUUUGUCAUCCGGACGCUCCAAUAAGAUCCCUUCUGCACAAGUGAAUGGGGCCUACAGGCACUCACGAGUUUGGAGGGAAAAGUAGUUACUAGAAAAGAGCAAGACAAGGGGAAGAAAUGUACUUGCUGAGAAAGAGGCAUGAAGACAUUUCCCAAGCUGGCAAGCUCUGGAAGCUCAAAGUUCCGUUGAACCUGCAAGACCUCAUAAACUUGGACCCCAAUAAACAGUCAAAUCUACUGGGGGCAGCCAGUGCAUACUGGCAUCAUCAGUAGAAUAUGUGACCUGGACCACAGCCAAGGGGUUCUCUGCACACUGCUGCAUGCAGAGAAACAAGUGCAGAACUGUAUACACACCUGAUAAAACAAGGAUCACAGAAGACUUUUCCAAAGAGCUAUGUAGAACCCAGCACGACCCUCAGCCUGGGAGACUGCAGCUGAGGUCAGCC